AAUCAACGCUGGCGGCGUGCCUCAGACAUGCAAGUCGAACGAUUAAAGCUCUCUUCGGAGAGUGUAUAGAGUGGCGCACGGGUGAGUAACACGUAAGUAAUCUACCUCGAGUGGGGAAUAACAACCGGAAACGGUUGCUAAUACCGCAUAAUGCAGCGGCACCGCAAGGUGACAGUUGUUAAAGAUUUAUCGCUUGAGGAGGAGCUUGCGGCAGAUUAGCUAGUUGGUAGGGUAACGGCUUACCAAGGCUACGAUCUGUAACCGGUCUAAGAGGACGGUCGGUCACACUGACACUGAAUAACGGGUCAGACUCCUACGGGAGGCAGCAGUCGGGAAUUUUGGGCAAUGGGCGAAAGCCUGACCCAGCAACGCCGCGUGAAGGAUGAAGUAUUUCGGUAUGUAAACUUCGAAAGAAUAGGAAGAAUUAAUGACGGUACUAUUUAUAAGGUCCGGCUAACUACGUGCCAGCAGCCGCGGUAAU
rnacentral:rRNA from 1 species